rnacentral:rRNA from 1 species
UACGUAGGGGGCAAGCGUUGUCCGGAUUUAUUGGGCGUAAAGCGCGUGUAGGCGGCCCGGUAAGUCCGCUGUGAAAGUCCAGGGCUCAACCCUGGGAUGCCGGUGGAUACUGUCGGGCUCGAGUCCGGAAGAGGCGAGUGGAAUUCCUGGUGUAGCGGUGAAAUGCGCAGAUAUCAGGAGGAACACCAAUGGCGAAGGCAGCUCGCUGGGACGUUACUGACGCUGAGACGCGAAAGCGUGGGGAGCAAACAGG